rnacentral:rRNA from 1 species
GACGAACCGUGCGACCGUUGUUCGGAAUCACUGGGCUUAAAGGGCGCGUAGGCGGGCUGCCAAGUCCGUAGGUGAAAUCCCCCGGCUCAACCGGGGAACGGCCUCGGAUACUGGCGGCCUGGAGGGGGGUAGGGGCGUGCGGAACUGUGGGUGGAGCGGUGAAAUGCGUUGAGAUCCACAGGAACUCCGGUGGCGAAGGCGGCACGCUGGACCCUUUCUGACGCUGAGGCGCGAAAGCCAGGGGAGCGAACGGG